CCUACGGGAGGCCGCAGUGGGGAAUAUUGGACAAUGGGCGAAAGCCUGAUCCAGCCAUGCCGCGUGUGUGAAGAAGGCCUUCGGGUUGUAAAGCACUUUCAGUGGGGAAGAAAGCCUUGGGGCUAAUACCCUCGAGGAAGGACAUCACCCACAGAAGAAGCACCGGCUAACUCCGUGCCAGCAGCCGCGGUAAUACGGAGGGUGCGAGCGUUAAUCGGAAUUACUGGGCGUAAAGCGCGCGUAGGCGGUCUGAUAAGCCGGUUGUGAAAGCCCCGGGCUCAACCUGGGAACGGCAUCCGGAACUGUCAGGCUAGAGUGCAGGAGAGGAAGGUAGAAUUCCCGGUGUAGCGGUGAAAUGCGUAGAGAUCGGGAGGAAUACCAGUGGCGAAGGCGGCCUUCUGGACUGACACUGACGCUGAGGUGCGAAAGCGUGGGUAGCAAACAGGAUUAGAUACCCCAGUAGUC
rnacentral:rRNA from 1 species